AGUCGUACGAGAGUUUUUAACUCAAGUGGCGUACGGGUGAGUAACACGUAAGAAUUUGCCUUUAGGAGGGGGACAACAACUGGAAACGGUUGCUAAUACCCCAUAUGCUUUCGAGUGAAACGGUUUUUCCGCCUAAAGAGAAGCUUGCGGCUGAUUAGCUUGUUGGUAAGGUAAUGGCUUACCAAGGCGACGAUCAGUAUCUGGUUUGAGAGGACGAUCAGACACACUGGAACUGAGACACGGUCCAGACUCCUACGGGAGGCAGCAGUGGGGAAUUUUCCGCAAUGGGCGAAAGCCUGACGGAGCAAUACCGCGUGAGGGAUGAAUGCCUGUGGGUUGUAAACCUCUUUUUUCAGGGAGGAAUCAAUGACGUUACCUGAAGAAUAAGCAUCGGCUAACUCCGUGCCAGCAGCCGCGGUAAUACG
rnacentral:rRNA from 1 species